rnacentral:rRNA from 1 species
UACGAAGGGUGCAAGCGUUAAUCGGAAUUACUGGGCGUAAAGGGUGCGUAGGCGGUUCGUUAAGUCUGUUGUGAAAUCCCCGGGCUCAACCUGGGAAUGGCAAUGGAUACUGGCGAGCUAGAGUGUGUCAGAGGAUGGUGGAAUUCCCGGUGUAGCGGUGAAAUGCGUAGAGAUCGGGAGGAACACCAGUGGCGAAGGCGGCCUUCUGGACCAGUACUGACGCUCAUGCACGAAAGCGUGGGGAGCAAACAGG